AGAAUGCAUAGAAAAUACAAGGGUAAGAAGAGGAAUCAUGUGGAAGAAGAGUAAACAUCUGAUGGUGUCCUGGGUAGCUGAAACUGUGGAAAGCAAAACCGUGGAUAAGGGGGAACUACUAUACUGAAAAUGUACAAAACAGAGAAGAUUUCAUUGAAGAAGUCUGCUGUUUCUGGAAUGGGAAAUUAAGCACAACUGGAACAGUUAUCGACUGUGAUUCUUGCUGGGACCAAUAACCUUCUACAAAUACCAACAUCAGUUUUUAUGAAAGGCAAAGAGCUGACAGGUUUACAGACUGCACCCUAACAUUAAGCUACCAGGAGAAACUUCCAAGUUACCCUCUUGUUACUUGUGCCCCAGAGGUGAACACUAUAAACUGCUACAGCAUGCAAUUUAGGGAGAGGUUCGUGAAGAAGUGAUUGGGAAAGAGAGCAAGUCUUGGUUGGACAGUGUGAUUCAAUAGAAAUGUGAGGAGGAAAACUGCAAUUAUUUCUGAACCUUCCCAUCAGCCUUGUCUCUGAUAGAAUUGGCCUGUUGUGGACGGGCUUUGUGUAGAUUAGAGAAAGAAGAAGAUGCUCUUUUGGUGUAAUUGUUCAGUUCCACAUGGCCGGGGAGGCCUCACGAUCAUGGCAGAAGGCAAGGAGGAGCAAGUCACAUCUUAUGUGGAUGGCAGCAGGCAAAGAGAGAGCGAGCUUGUGCAAGGAGACUCCCAUUUUUAAAACCAUCAGAUCUCGUGAGACUUAUUCACUAUCAGGAGAACAGCAAGCUAAAUCAGUGUGAGACCAAGGACCCUGGGGCUCCUCCAGUCAUUGCAGCUGUAUCACAACUACCCUGACAGAUUUCUUGCUCAGGGCAAGCCACCUGCCAUGUCUUGAGAACACUCAAGCAGCACAUGGCGAGGAAUGGAGAUGGACAGACAUGGGCCAGCAAGAAACAGGCUUGCCAACAACAGCUUGCGUGAUCCUGAAAGUGGGUCCUCUAGCCCCAUGUGACUGUUGCCCUGGCCAACAACUUAACUGCAACCUCAAGAGAUACCUACCCUGAGUCAGAACCACCCAGUCAAACUACCCCUGGCAUCUUAACUCAGAGUAACUGCCCCGUUGACUGGAGGAUGGCCAUUUGACAACACAUUAUUUCCUGAGGAAACUUUUGACUUCUGGUGACUUGGGCCCCAGGCUGGCUGAAUUUGCCAAGACCCGGCUUUGCCCUUGCAUGUGUGAAAAAUGGCCUCAAGUAUGACCCCAUGGCAAGAUGGAAAGAAACUGUGCUCUUGAAUAGCUUAGAGAUUCAGAGCCCCCCAACCAGCUUGAAACGCCCACCUCAAAACAAUGACAUGAGAAGAAACAAACCUCUAAUUUAAGCCACUGUCUUUUUAAGAGCAUUGUAGUUUGAGAUCUCUUUCUUUCAGCUGUUUAGUCCCCAGCUAAACACUUACUGACCUUAUCUUACAGGUCAAGAAAAAUGAAGUUCUGGGGUACAAGUCACUAAUGUAUUAGAAAUUUUCCAGCUCUCCCUCCUUGCCCAGCAGAGUAUAUUUCCACUCAAACACAAUGAACCCAUUUGGAAUGGGACAAAACAAAAUGGGGUGGGCCUGGAACAAGAGAAAGUUCAGCUACACAGGAUCCAGGUCAAAACUCUUUAAUCCUCCCAUUUCUGGAUUUCAAAUGAACACCUUUUUGUCUAGCAGUUCUCCUCCAGAGGUUUGCUUUCCCACAACAGCUUGUCAACAGUGUAAGAAGUUCAAAAAGAACUUUUGGGGUUGCACGUUGCAGGUUGUGUGGCAUCAUCCCAGCUUGUCUCAACACCUCUGAUGAACAGUAGCGGAAGAAAGGACUCUUUCCACAUGAGUUCCUCGGCGGUCCCCGUCUCUUAGGGAGUUUAUAAAAAAAUCCAUCAUCUUGUUCUACUAAACCCAAGUAAAUAUAAUUAACACCAAA
rnacentral:lncRNA from 1 species